rnacentral:rRNA from 1 species
ACGGGGGGGGGCAAGCGUUGUUCGGAAUUACUGGGCGUAAAGGGUUUGUAGGUGGCCGGCUAAGUCAGACGUGAAAUCCCUCAGCUUAACUGGGGAACUGCGUCUGGGACUGGUCGGCUUGAGGGCCGGAGAGGAACGCGGAAUUCCAGGUGUAGCGGUGAAAUGCGUAGAUAUCUGGAGGAACACCGGUGGCGAAGGCGGCGUUCUGGACGGCAUCUGACACUGAGAAACGAAAGCCAGGGGAGCAAACGGGA